rnacentral:rRNA from 1 species
CCUACGGGUGGCAGCAGUGGGGAAUAUUGGGCAAUGGGCGCAAGCCUGACCCAGCAAAGACGCGUGAAGGAUGAAGGCUCUAGGGUUGUAAACUUCCUUUGACCGGGAAGAGUAGAAGACGGUACCUGUCGACUAAGCCACGGCUAACUACGUGACAGCCGACGCGGGAAGACGUAGGUGGCACGCGUUGUCCGGAUUUACUGGGUGUAAAGGGCGUGUAGCCGGGUUGACAAGUCAGAUGGUAAAUCCUGCGGCUUAACCGCAGAACUGCAGUUGAAACUGUUGAUCUUGAGUAGUGGAGAAGCAGACGGAAUGCGUGGUGUAGCGGUGAAAUGCGUAGAUAUUAGGCAGAACACCAGUGGCGAAGGCAGUAUGCUGGACAGCAACUGACGGUGAGGCGCGAAAGCGUGGGGAGCGAACAGGAUUAGAUACCCGGGUAGUC